UAGGGAAUCUUCCACAAUGGACGCAAGUCUGAUGGAGCAACGCCGCGUGAGUGAAGAAGGCUUUCGGGUCGUAAAACUCUGUUAUUGAAGAAGAACGUGUGUGACAGUAACUGGUCAUGCAGUGACGGUAUUCAAUCAGAAAGUCACGGCUAACUACGUGCCAGCAGCCGCGGUAAUACGUAGGUGGCAAGCGUUGUCCGGAUUUAUUGGGCGUAAAGCGAGUGCAGGCGGUCUUUUAAGUCUGAUGUGAAAGCCUUCGGCUUAACCGAAGAAGGGCAUCGGAAACUGGGAGACUUGAGUGCAGAAGAGGAGAGUGGAACUCCAUGUGUAGCGGUGAAAUGCGUAGAUAUAUGGAAGAACACCAGUGGCGAAGGCGGCUCUCUGGAUCUGUAACUGACGCUGAGGCUCGAAAGCGUGGGUAGCAAANCAGGAUUAGAUACCCUGGUAGUCCACGCCGUAAACGAUGAA
rnacentral:rRNA from 1 species